rnacentral:rRNA from 1 species
GUGAGGAAUAUUGGGCAAUGGAGGCAACUCUGACCCAGCCAUGCCGCGUGCAGGAAGACGGUCCUAUGGAUUGUAAACUGCUUUUAUACGGGAAGAAACACCCCCUCGUGAGGGGACUUGACGGUACCGUAAGAAUAAGGAUCGGCUAACUCCGUGCCAGCAGCCGCGGUAAUACGGAGGAUCCAAGCGUUAUCCGGAAUCAUGGGGUUUAAAGGGUCCGUAGGCGGCCGUAUAAGUCAGUGGUGAAAUCUCCUAGCUCAACUAGGAAACUGCCAUUGAUACUGUAGGGCUUGAAUUAUUGUGAAGUAACUAGAAUAUGUAGUGUAGCGGUGAAAUGCUUAGAUAUUACAUGGAAUACCAAUUGCGAAGGCAGGUUACUAACAAUAUAUUGACGCUGAUGGACGAAAGCGUGGGUAGCGAACAGGAUUAGAUACCCUUGUAGUCC